UACGGGAGGCAGCAGUGGGGAAUAUUGCACAAUGGGCGCAAGCCUGAUGCAGCCAUGCCGCGUGUAUGAAGAAGGCCUUCGGGUUGUAAAGUACUUUCAGUCGUGAGGAAGGUGUUAAGGUUAAUAACCUUAGCAAUUGACGUUAGCGACAGAAGAAGCACCGGCUAACUCCGUGCCAGCAGCCGCGGUAAUACGGAGGGUGCGAGCGUUAAUCGGAAUUACUGGGCGUAAAGGGCACGCAGGCGGUUAAUUAAGUUGGAUGUGAAAUCCCCGGGCUUAACCUGGGAAUGGCAUUCAAGACUGGUUAGCUAGAGUCUUGUAGAGGGGGUAGAAUUCCGAUGUGUAGCGGUGAAAUGCGUAGAGAUGUGGAGGAAUACCGGGUGGCGAAGGCGGCCCCUGGGACAAAGACUGACGCUCAUGUGCGAAAGCGUGGGGAGCGAAACAGGGAUUAGAUACC
rnacentral:rRNA from 1 species